rnacentral:rRNA from 1 species
UACGAAGGUCCCAAGCGUUGUUCGGAAUCACUGGGCGUAAAGGGAGCGUAGGCGGCGUGGUAAGUCAGAUGUGAAAUCCUGGGGCUCAACCCCGGAACUGCAUCCGAUACUGCCAUGCUAGAGGAUUGGAGAGGUAGCUGGAAUUCUUGGUGUAGCAGUGAAAUGCGUAGAGAUCAAGAGGAACACUCGUGGCGAAAGCGAGCUACUGGACAAUUCCUGACGCUGAGGCUCGAAGGCUAGGGUAGCGAAAGGG